ensembl:processed_transcript
GAGCAGACGUGUAUUGAGAAGCUCCGCAUUUCAUACUCAAACAAGGCGAAAAAUCCUAAAUUAACUGCAGUAAACGUAUUUAUACACCCUAGAGAGCGUUAUUUACCGAAAAUAAAUGGAACAAAGUAUGUCUAAUGUUCCAGGUCCUUCGGGACAAAGAAGACAGCCGUCUACACUGGGAAUAGGUCCAUCUCCUGGUUCUGUGCAAGAAAAGUAUGACCUGAAGGAACUUGUGGGAAAGGGCCAUCACGGCGAGAUCUAUCGUGCUAUUAGAAAAGCCGACGGACAACAGUUUGCCAUCAAGUCGACUACUACAGAACUUGACAACAAAGUGCCUAGGUAUCCGGGACUCCUACCAAAUGAAGUGGCCAUGAUGACUCUUGCGAGACGUCCACCCAGCAUGCAGCUCCCCAGACUCUAUGAAUGGUUUUGGGAUGAAGAGGAAACAUCAGAUGGGGUAAGUCUAUUUAUUCAGCACAUUUUAUGCACGAUGCGCUGCAGGAUGGUUUGUCUUGAUUCUUAUUGUCGUUUUAAUUUUGUGACUUAAUUCUUAAAUCAAGAAGCAUUUCUGGACAAGUAAAUACCUUUGUCUUGUUUUCAGAAAAGCUCGUGGGUUAAUAAUA